UGGGGAAUUUUGCGCAAUGGGCGAAAGCCUGACGCAGCGACGCCGCGUGGAGGAAGAAGGCCUUAGGGUUGUAAACUUCUUUAGUAGGGGAAGAAGCCGCGAGCAAUCGUGGUGACGGUACCCUAAAAAUAAGCCACGGCUAACUCUGUGCCAGCAGCCGCGGUAAGACAGAGGUGGCAAGCGUUGUUCGGAUUUACUGGGCUUAAAGCGCGCGUAGGCGUCUUGAUAAGUCAGAUGUGGAAGCCUUGGGCUUAACUCAAGAAUUGCAUUUGAUACUGUCGAGAUUGAGUCAUGCAGAGGAGGGCGGAAUUCCUGGUGUAGCGGUGAAAUGCGUAGAUAUCAGGAGGAAGGCCGGAGGCGAAGGCGGCCCUCUGGGCAAUGACUGACGCUGAGGUGCGAAAGCGUGGGUAGCAAACAGGAUUAGAUACCCUGGUAGUCCACGCCCUAAACGGUGGGUACUAGGUGUGGGUGGCGAUAGUCAUUCGUGCCGUAGGGAAACCAUUAAGUACCCCGCCUGGGGAGUACGGUCGCAAGAUUA
rnacentral:rRNA from 1 species